rnacentral:rRNA from 1 species
GUGGGGAAUCUUGCGCAAUGGGCGAAAGCCUGACGCAGCCAUGCCGCGUGAAUGAUGAAGGUCUUAGGAUUGUAAAAUUCUUUCACCGGGGACGAUAAUGACGGUACCCGGAGAAGAAGCUCCGGCUAACUUCGUGCCAGCAGCCGCGGUAAUACGAAGGGGGCUAGCGUUGCUCGGAAUUACUGGGCGUAAAGGGCGCGUAGGCGGACAGCUUAGUCAGAGGUGAAAGCCCAGGGCUCAACCUUGGAAUUGCCUUUGAUACUGGCUGUCUUGAGUUUGGGAGAGGUGAGUGGAACUCCGAGUGUAGAGGUGAAAUUCGUAGAUAUUCGGAAGAACACCAGUGGCGAAGGCGACUGACUGGACAAGUAUUGACGCUGAGGUGCGAAAGCGUGGGGAGCAAACAGGAUUAGAUACCCGAGUAGUCC